UGAAAAGAACUUUGAAAAGAGAGUUAAACAGUACGUGAAAUUGUUGAAAGGGAAACGAUUGAAGUCAGUCAUACCAACGGGAAAUCAACCUUUUGAGCUCGGUCUCGUGGGUUUUGAAGAGUUUCAAAGCCUUCGGAUUCGCGGGAUUUGGGAUCACUUGGUGUACUUUUUCGUUCGGUUAGUCAACAUCGGUUUUGAAUGUCAUAAAAUGACUGGA
rnacentral:rRNA from 1 species